GAACCCUACCUCCCGAUCCCAUCUCAACCAGCUCCAGCGCGCCGCCACCUCCUGCCGGCCGCUCCCCUCCGCCCCCCAACCCACCCCUCGGCGGCGCGCGCCGCCACUGACGCCACGGCCGUUGGCGGCUUCCCCCCGUCCUGACCCCGAAUCCCUCGAGCGCCGCCGCCGCCACCCCGGCAGCCCCUCUCGGCGAUGACCACGGGUGCGCCUCCCACUCCCUCGAGACUCCAGCUCCCCGGCGGCCUUCCCUCCUCCCCCCCCAAGUCCACGACCACUGCUGCUUCGAGGCCGAGGAGGCCAUCGGGUAGCAGCGAGCUUAGGUCGGGGUCGUAGUCCAGCAAUGCAAGGAGCCAAGGAGGGUGGUCCAGCCGAGAGAAGGAUGUUGCGAGAGGGGAUGAAGCGGCAGUUGCGCGGCCGCGUUGACCCGAGCUGGUUGCGAGAGCGGAUGGAGUGGCGGCUGCACGGUUUCCUUAUUGGAGGUGCCGGUAUGCACGCACGCCUUCUUGAUUUUGUGCCUGCCUCUUUCCUGACAGGAUUCUGACUCUGCCUGGGCGUUCUUCUACUUUGUGUGUGUUCAGAACGAUGCACUAAUGCAGUACCUGUGAGCCCGUUGACGAACUCGCAAAAUAUGGAUGGAGCUGCAACCUGAUCACCGGGGCCAAGAGGGAGCCCCAAAUAAACCAUUUUUACAAGACAGAAAAGGGAUUGUUGAGGCUGAUUUGUGUUUGUGCAAGCUGAACUCAAAGGAACCUCCGCCGAAGAUUUACGAGGUGAAGGACUCGAACUGUAUCUCAUGCCCACUUGGCCAUACCUGGGUUGGAUGCCAGCAGCCCUCCGAUUGCGCGUCUGGUCCGCCUCUCCGAGUCUCCGUCGGCCAGUUGUUCUUCUCGUUCAUCGCCGUACAGCUCCUCACCAGCAAACUCCUGUGCUUCUCCACCAGAAUCAAUUCCCGAGCUGUUGAUAUCCCCUAUUCCUCGAAGGAUAUGCCCAAGGUAAUUUGUUCCACAAGAUGAGUGCUGCAGUAUUUGUAUGAACUGGAGUACUGUACUGUUGCAGUAGCGUGGUUCGAAAAUCCUUUCUUUUUCAGUUAUAUAUUAGAACAAAACUUGUACGGUUUGGUCUGCAUUUUCACAAUCAAUAUGUGGUGUUGAAAUAGUGUAAAUUGUUUAACUUGCUUUUUGGCCAGUAUCCCUGUAUAUGUGGAUGUAUUGUUGCUUUUCACAAUCAAUUUGUAAAGUUGCUUAAUGUACUGUUUGGUCUGCGUUUUUAGUCUGUAUCCCUGAAUCGCUGCCCUUAAGCUCUUUUUCAUUUCUAUAAUUUGUGAGCACGAGCAUGAAAAGAAAAUAUCCCAUGUUGAAACGUGAGCAAGCCUUG